GACAGAGGGUGCGAACGUUGUUCGGAAUUACUGGGCGUAAAGCGCAUGUAGGCGGCAGCGCAAGUCGGGCGUGAAAUCCCACGGCUCAACCGUGGAAGUGCACUCGAAACUGCGCAGCUAGAGUCCUGGAGAGGAAGGUGGAAUGACUUGGUGUAGAGGUGAAAUUCGUAGAUAUCAAGCGGAACACCGGUGGCGAAGGCGGCCUUACUGGGACAGUGACGUGACGCUGAGAUGCGAAAGCGGUGGGGAGCAAACAGGG
rnacentral:rRNA from 1 species